rnacentral:rRNA from 1 species
UACAGAGGUCCCAAGCGUUGUUCGGAUUCACUGGGCGUAAAGGGUGCGUAGGUGGUGAGGUAAGUCGGAUGUGAAAGCUCGGAGCUCAACUCCGAAAUGGCAUUGGAAACUACCUUGCUUGAGGAAUGGAGGGGGGACUGGAAUUCUCGGUGUAGCAGUGAAAUGCGUAGAUAUCGAGAGGAACACCAGUGGCGAAGGCGAGUCCCUGGACAAUCUCCUGACACUGAGGCACGAAAGCUAGGGGAGCAAACAGG